UUUACUUUUGUGUGCUAAAGUAACAACAUAUUUAUUCCUGCACUGCAUUAAAAGUGGACUGACUUCCGCAGAAUGGAAAGCGUCCAGAAUUUCUUCUCUUCUGAUGAAGCUAAGGCUAAAACAGCAUUCAGUGUUGUGUGAGUGGUUUCUGGCUUUACCUCAAUGGAAGGCAAGACACAAUCGGUUGUGCUUCAUGACCCGGAAAUCAAGAUUCAUGUCCAAAGUUGGUGACAAGAAGAUAAUGUCAGCUAAAUACAAGAAUUGCCACUCACAGUAUCGAAAGGCUAGGAAUCGAUAUCAAA